rnacentral:rRNA from 1 species
AUUGAACGCUGGCGGCAUGCCUUACACAUGCAAGUCGAACGGCAGCACGGGUGCUUGCACCUGGUGGCGAGUGGCGAACGGGUGAGUAAUACAUCGGAACGUACCUUAUCGUGGGGGAUAACGCAGCGAAAGCUGUGCUAAUACCGCAUACGCCCUGAGCGGGAAAGCGGGGGAUCGAAAGACCUCGCGCGAUUAGAGCGGCCGAUGCCUGAUUAGCUUGUUGGUGGGGUAAAAGCCCACCAAGGCGACGAUCAGUAGCUGGUCUGAGAGGACGAUCAGCCACACUGGGACUGAGACACGGCCCAGACUCCUACGGGAGGCAGCAGUGGGGAAUUUUGGACAAUGGGGGCAACCCUGAUCCAGCAAUGCCGCGUGAGUGAAGAAGGCCUUCGGGUUGUAAAGCUCUUUUGUCAGGGAAGAAACACCGGCUCUAACACAGUCCGGGAAUGACGGUACCUGAAGAAUAGGCACCGGCUAACUACGUGCCAGCCGCCGCGGUAA